rnacentral:rRNA from 1 species
UCGUGCUUAUCUAACGAUAGGCUUUUUUCAUGUUUAGUUCUCAUGAAGAAUAAGUGGUGGGCAAGACCGGUGCCAGCAGCCGCGGUAAUACCGGCGCCACGAGUGGAGUUCGCUUUUAUUGGGUCUAAAGUGUUCGUAGCUGGUUUGAUAAGUCUCUUGUGAAAUUUCUGUUGCUUAACUCAGAAACUGCAAGGGAUACUGUCAAACUUGAGACCGGAAGAGGUAACAAGUAUUGUUUGGGUAGCGGUAAAAUGCUAUAAUCCUUACAAGACUAACUAAGGCGAAGGCAUGUUACUUGGACGGAUCUGACAGUGAGGAACGAGAGCUGGGGGAGCGAACCGGAUUAGAUACCCGGGUAGUCCCAGCCGUAAACGCUGCGGGUUAGGCUUUGCUGAAUCUACGAGAUUUAGCAGGGUCGUAGCGAAGGCGUUAAACCCGCCACCUGGGGAGUACAGCCGCAAGGCCGAAACUUAAAGGAAUUGCCGGGGGAGUACUACAAGCGGUGCGGCGUGCGGUUUAAUUGGAUUUUACACCGAGAAACUUACCAAGAGCGACAGCACUAUGAAGGACAGAUUAAAGGUUUUACCUAAGACGCUGAGAGGUGCUGCAUGGCCGCCGUCAGCUCGUGCUGUAAGGUGUCCUCUUAAGUGAGGAAACGAGCAAGACCUAUGCCUAUAAUUGCUAGCGGAGUCGAUCCGUGCACUUUAUAGGGACUGCCCUGGAAACAGGGAGGAAGGUGUAGGCUACGGUAGGUCUGUAUAGCCCGAAUCUCUUGGGCUACACGCGCGCAACAAUGGUUAUGACAAUGUGCUGCAACUCCGAAAGGGGAAGCCAAUCACCAAACGCAAUCUUAG